CAAGAGUUAAAGACGCAAUUUCUCUGAUUUUUUUUUCUUUCCCUAUUCUCUUCUUCGAUUUCUGUCUACUUCGUUUGCCUCUCUAAUCUUCUUUGGCUCUCUCGCUACGAUUUGACUCUGAUUCUUCUUCUCCCUUUGUUUAAAUCAUCCCAGAAGUCAAAGAGUGAAUCGUUUUGUUAUAGCUACGAAGAAGAGGAGAGAGAUCUCAAGCAUCACGUCUCAUACAAACAACGACAGAGAACAUUCUUAGUUUUGUUUGCAUGCGAUCGAUGACAAUAUCGAUCUCCGUCACUUGUGGGGAUCACCAAAUCUCACCGUAGAAAGAGAGAGAGAGAGACGAUUCGUACGAGUUAGAGGUCGCCGGAAUCCAAGGCUUCGGAAGUCAUGAUGUUGGAUUAAAAAAAUCUCCGGUGACGGAGAUGAUAGCGAUAAAUUGAGGGAUCAUCGUAGAUUGGGGGAUUCGUUUUCCCGGUGUAAACACAUUCGUUGGUGAUCGUGUGUGCUCAGGUCUACAAAAGCCCAACAAAAUCAAUUCAGCCCAUCAAACAGUCACUAGUUGAGCUUGUUUCAAGAAGAGAUGUUGAGAUAAGAUCUGAGCCGUACAUUUGUCACGAUCUGAGCCGUAGGAGAAAGAGAGAGAGAGAGAUUAGAUGGCUCUCUGCAAUCGGCUGCGCGUGUUUCAACAGACGCGCCUCCUCUUGGCCUGGCCGGGGAUUAAUACGCUGCCUUUUGGUAGACAGCUAAUGAAGGCUCUGCAAUGUGUUCCAGCCAUUUUCACCGUGAAUAGAGAGUUCCUUGUACUCGGAGCUGUACCGGAAAUAAGAGAAGUAAGGCUACGUUAAGCUUUGCGUUCACCGGUACCAGCAGCGAUUCAGCUUCUCUAUCUUCUAGGAAUCUCUCCCCCACGAGCGAGAGAUAUGGAGUUGGAUGAAUUCGAAAGACUGUUGGCCAUGGAAGAUACAGAAGAAGCCAAGUGAGAGCUGAGAUGUUUUGUCAGUUGACUGGUGGACUCGAAGCUGCUUGGAGCAAACUAAAAAGGCGAAGGAGGUCUUGACAAAAGAGAUUAUUUCUGAACCAAUGCGAGAUAUAUUAGAAGAGCUCUCCAGGAAGCAGAUGUGAGUGAGUCUCCCAGUUGUUAGAAGGUUCGUUCAGUCUGUUAGUGACCUAGCCGUUGGAAUGGGUGUCCAACCAGAUCAGCAGUUGGUCAAGAUUGUACAUGAUGAGCUAGUGAAAUUGAUGGGUGGAGAAGUAUCUGUGCUGCAGUUUGCUAAAACAGGUCCUACUGUAAUAUUGUUGGCUGGGCUCCAAGGAGUUGGAAAGACAACGGUUUGCGCUAAACUAGCUUGUUACCUAAAGAAACAGGGAAAGUCUUGCAUGCUUAAUUGCUGGAGAUCUAUACCGACCUGCAGCCAUCGAUCAACUUGUCAUUUUAAGUGAACAGAAAGAAACGAUUAGUAGAGAAACAGGGU